rnacentral:rRNA from 1 species
UACGUAGGUGGCAAGCGUUAUCCGGAUUUACUGGGCGUAAAGAGCGCGCAGGCGGUCGUCCAAGUCGCAAUGUGAAGCCCCGGCUCAACUGGGAGGGUCAUUCGAUACUGUUCGACUCGAAGGCAGGAGAGGGAAGUGGAAUUCCGGGUGUAGUGGUGAAAUGCGUAGAUAUCCGGAGGAACACCAGUGGCGAAGGCGACUUCUGGCCUGUUCUUGACGCUGAGGCGCGAAAGCGUGGGAGCAACAGG